AUUGAACGCUGGCGGCAGGCCUAACACAUGCAAGUCGAACGAGUGGCGGACGGGUGAGUAAUGUCUGGGAAACUGCCUGAUGGAGGGGGAUAACUACUGGAAACGGUAGCUAAUACCGCAUACCCUCAGAUGUGCCCAGAUGGGAUUAGCUUGUUGGUGGGGUAACGGCUCACCAAGGCGACGAUCCCUUGCCGGUCUGAAAGGAUGACCAGCCACACUGGAACUUGGACACGGACCAGAGUCCUACGGUAGGCAGCAAGGGGGAAUAUUGCACAAUGGGCGCAAGCCUGAUGCAGGCAUGCCGCGAGGAUGAAGAAGGCCUUCGGGUUGUAAAGUUCUUUCAGCGGGGAGGCGUUACCCGCAGAAGAAGCGCCGGCUAACUCCGUGCCAGCAGCCGCGGUAAUUC
rnacentral:rRNA from 1 species